CACGGGACUCCCAUUCUGGACGUACAAUGAUUCAUUUCGAAAACAACUGAAUCUGGGUUUGACAGCGGAAGAUGAGGACUUCCGACGCUACUAUGCAUCAUUGUUUGCUGUCCCCACCACUAGGGGCAGUGUGGGACCCACAAGCAACUCCCCUGUGUCUUGCCUCACCAUAGAAGUGCUGAAUGAGAGUAGCGAGGAGUUACCAGAAACCACUGGUGGUGAACCAACCAUCGACCGCAGCGCAAUGUGAGAAGCUACACAUCAUCCUGCCCUGGCACGCACACGCACGCACGCACGCACGCACGCACGCACGCACGCACGCACGCACGCACGCACGCACGCACGCACGCACGCACGCACGCACGCACGCACGCACGCACGCACGCACGCACGCACGCACGCACGCACCCACCCACCCACCCACCCACCCACCCACCCACCCACCCACCCACCCACCCACCCACCCACCCACCCACCCACGCACGCACGCACGCACGCACGCACGCACGCACGCACGCACGCACGCACGCACGCACGCACGCACGCACGCACGCACGCACGCACGCACGCACGCACGCACGCACGCACGCACGCACGCACGCACGCACGCACGCACGCACGCACGCACGCACGCACACACACACACACACACACACACACACACACACUUGUGCACAUACAUUGAAACACACUCCCUUACCGACCUUGGCAUGUAGAGAAUCCAC
rnacentral:lncRNA from 1 species